rnacentral:sRNA from 1 species
AUUUUUAAUUAACCACACACACAUACUGCAACGUUGUCCGGGGUGCCUGCUUUUUAGUCGGUCGGAUACAGCGGGUAUGUGGAGGCUCAAC